rfam:Cicer arietinum chromosome Ca6, whole genome shotgun sequence.
UGACAAUGAUGACCCUAUUUGAUUAGGUCUCGUUCGUCGUAAUUGGCCAAGUUGGCCUUGCCGAUCAUCCUCUUAUAUUCUGAGUCC